AGAGUUUGAUCCUGGCUCAGGAUGAACGCUGGCGGCGUGCCUAACACAUGCAAGUCGAACGAAGCGCUUGAACAGAUUUCUUCGGAUUGAAGUUCUUGCGACUGAGUGGCGGACGGGUGAGUAACGCGUGGGUAACCUGCCUCAUACAGGGGGAUAACAGUUAGAAAUGACUGCUAAUACCGCAUAAGCGCACAGCUUCGCAUGGAGCAGUGUGAAAAACUCCGGUGGUAUGAGAUGGACCCGCGUCAGAUUAGCUAGUUGGCAGGGUAACGGCCUACCAAGGCGACGAUCUGUAGCCGACCUGAGAGGGUGACCGGCCACAUUGGGACUGAGACACGGCCCAAACUCCUACGGGAGGCAGCAGUGGGGAAUAUUGCACAAUGGGGGAAACCCUGAUGCAGCGACGCCGCGUGAGCGAAGAAGUAUUUCGGUAUGUAAAGCUCUAUCAGCAGGGAAGAUAAUGACGGUACCUGACUAAGAAGCUCCGGCUAAAUACGUGCCAGCAGCCGCGGUAAUACGUAUGGAGCAAGCGUUAUCCGGAUUUACUGGGUGUAAAGGGAGCGUAGACGGUUUGACAAGUCUGAUGUGAAAUUCCAGGGCUUAACCCUGGACCUGCAUUGGAAACUGUCGGACUAGAGUGUCGGAGAGGUGAGUGGAAUUCCUAGUGUAGCGGUGAAAUGCGUAGAUAUUAGGAGGAACACCAGUGGCGAAGGCGGCUCACUGGACGAUAACUGACGUUGAGGCUCGAAAGCGUGGGGAGCAAACCAGGAUUAGAUACCCUGGUAGUCCACGCCGUAAACGAUGAGUACUAGGUGUUGGGGAGCAAAGAUCUUCGGUGCCGUCGCAAACGCAGUAAGUACACCACAUGGGGAGUACGUUUGCAAGAAUGAAACUCAAAGGAAUUGACGGGGACCCGCACAAGCGGUGGAGCAUGUGGUUUAAUUCGAAGCAACGCGAAGAACCUUACCAAAUCUUGACAUCGGAGUGACCGCUCUUUAAUCGGAGCUUUCCUGCGGGACACUCCAGACAGGUGGUGCAUGGUUGUCGUCAGCUCGUGUCGUGAGAUGUUGGGUUAAGUCCCGCAACGAGCGCAACCCUUAUCCUUAGUAGCCAGCAAGUGAAGUUGGGCACUCUAGGGAGACUGCCAGGGAUAACCUGGAGGAAGGUGGGGAUGACGUCAAAUCAUCAUGCCCCUUAUGAUUUGGGCUACACACGUGCUACAAUGGCGUAAACAAAGGGAAGCGAACCUGAGAGGGGAAGCAAAGCUCAAAAAUAACGUCUCAGUUCGGAUUGUAGUCUGCAACUCGACUACAUGAAGCUGGAAUCGCUAGUAAUCGCGAAUCAGCAUGUCGCGGU
rnacentral:rRNA from 1 species